rnacentral:lncRNA from 1 species
GCGUGUGCGUGGAAUCGAGAUUUCUUAAGGCUCAAUCAACAUCGUGUGCAGAAGCCAAGUGCAACGGGCAUGGAGGUGGCCAUCAGCACUGCAUCUGACCUGCCUAUUCCUUUAUAGGUGUGCACUUCCCGUGGUGACUGCCAUUGUUCUGAGGGCUUUCAACCUCCCAGCUGUACACCUAAGGAAGGAGGAGACUCAUCUUGGUAUGGCAGGCAAGGUCUGCCCAUGGAAGGAGCUUCUAGGAACCGUGAGAAGAAGUGGCUCUUAAGUUUGUACAUUGUCUUAAUUAUCCUCACGACAGCAGUCGUCCUAGGCACAGGGUGGAAAGGCUUGAAAAAGUGUCGCUUCAAGGAGGAGGAAUCCAUGAGCAGCGAAAGCAAAUCAGAAGACAACACUCAAACGUACAACAGCAGAUCAAAAUCCGAGGCAAGCAGUGGAUCACCUACGAGCAGUUAACUGCUACCCCUUCAGGAGGAAGAGGAUGGCACCCAGGGGCUCACUGAGAAAUGAAGAGUCCACGGUCUUCCCUUGGUCACAGCUGAAGGAGCUAAUAAACUGAAAGUGGACC